UCCUUUCAUCAACUUGUUACAGAUCCACAAAAAUCUGUCCCUUCUAUAACAGCUAUUGGGUACAAUGGAAUUCAACUCUAGCAAAGUGGCAUUAUAUUUAUAUUAUAACCUAUUGUUUUUGGUGAACGUAGGAUUUGGUACAUGAUAAUGUCCCAGAAAUUUAAUUUUUUUUUUUUAUUUUUGCGAUCCUUCUGAAGUAAUUGUUUGUGCUGAAGCUGUGGCUUCCAGUUUAGAGAAGGCAUUGUUGAGUCUUCAUAUCCAGAAAAGAAACUCCUCGCUCCUCAGUGCAUUAGCUGCGUCAAAGCACAUGUUGGUGUUCUUAAAGAUACGUACAAGCAUUGAUAUUACCAGAAGGUUGUCUGUUCCAGAAAACUGUAUCAGAGCUCUCCCACCUGCUGAAAAGGGUCAGGAAAUGAGUUUGCACGUUAAGGAUAACGAGACUGGGGUCGUGUGGACAUUUCGUUGCAAAAUUCCUGCGGAAGGGUAUUCCAAACCUGUUAUUUUUGGAGAUUGGCUUCAGUUUACUCGCACUAAAGAUCUCAGGCCUGGCAACUGGGUCGCCUUCCAUCAAGAGAUGGAUGAAGCUACUGAAGCUCAGUACAAAAUUGAAGUGAAGAAAAGAGGAUCAGCUUAUUUGAACAGAAAUUGAAGGAAUUCUUUUGUAAUAACACCACUUGAUCAUUUGGUGCAUUGUAAUUUUAUUUUUCCUUUUUCCUCGAGGUGUCAGGCUAUGAACUUCCACAAAAAGAUAGAAACUUGAGAUAUUAGACUAUUAUCACUUGUUGAUGAUGAAGAAAAUAUUGAUUUGGCUUUCAAAGAUAGAAA